rnacentral:rRNA from 1 species
CAGCAGCCGCGGGAAUACAGAGGUCCCAAGCGUUGUUCGGAUUCACUGGGCGUAAAGGGUGCGUAGGCGGCCAGGUAAGUUUGAUGUGAAAUCCCGCAGCACAACUGCGGAACUGCAUUGAAUACUAUUUGGCUCGAGGAAUGGAGGGGAGACUGGAAUUCUCGGUGUAGCAGUGAAAUGCGUAGAUAUCGAGAGGAACACCAGUGGCGAAGGCGAGUCUCUUGACAUUUCCUGACGCUCAGGCACGAAAGCCAGGGGAGCAAACGGGAUUAGAUACCCCGGUAGUCCCUGUCUCUUAUAC